AUUGAACGCUGGCGGUAUGCUUAACACAUGCAAGUCGAACGGUAACAGGCCUUCGGGCGCUGACGAGUGGCGGACGGGUGAGUAACGCGUAGGAAUCUGCCUCAUAGUGGGGACAACGUGGGGAAACUCACGCUAAUACCGCAUACGCCCUACGGGGAAAGCGGGGGAUCUUCGGACCUCGCGCUAUGAGAUGAGCCUGCGUUAGAUUAGCUAGUUGGUAGGGUAAAGGCCUACCAAGGCGACGAUCUAUAGCUGGUCUGAGAGGACGAUCAGCCACACUGGGACUGAGACACGGCCCAGACUCCUACGGGAGGCAGCAGUGGGGAAUAUUGGACAAUGGGACGCAAGCCUGAUCCAGCAAUACCGCGUGUGUGAAGAAGG
rnacentral:rRNA from 1 species